GGAAGGACCUCUUCCUAGAGAUCACUCCUUGUGGAGAGUAUUGUCAGCCUAUAACAUUGUUGAUACAUCUAUUUUCUUCACGAAGAGAACAAAGGCAUGAAGAUAUAUGGCUUUAAAAAAGCGUGUUGUUGGAAUAAAUGUCUCCAGUGACACCUCAUUACAUCAGUAGAAUGGGAAAGGCUAAUUCUUUAAUACUUACUAAGUUCAGGAAUAAAGAAAACUCAACACUGUCAACUGCUGGAAACGAUGGAAAAGAAUUGAGAUCCCUGAAACAACAAAAAGAUAUGCUCAGCAGAAAUAAGUGACCUGAUGCUACUAAAAAAUUGCUGAUGUCAUUCUUUUGAUUACUAUCUAGCUUCAUGUACCAUUAAACAAGGACUUCUUUAAUUCUUUUGUAGAAAUACCAUUUCCUUACUAUAUUAUAUAGAUAUUCUAGAUAAAUUCCACUUUUAAAUUUAUUUAUAGCUAUUAUGACAUAAGGUUCUGUUUCAUUUGCAUGUUUCAGUUGUGCUAGCCUUAUGUGCAGUUUCAGAUUAGUUAUGAUACAUGCCUAGAUUCCAUCUCUAAAAUGUUUCUGUUCAGCAGCAUCCGUUCUGCACUUUUCCCUCCCAGACUCCUAUUCAUUUCUUCCCUCAUGAAGAAGAAAUUCCACAUUUUGCAUUCCUAUUCCUUUCUUCUGCAUUAUGCUACAUCAGCUUUUUGUAACUUGUAACACUUGAAAUUCUACAAAAUAAUCUGUACUCAUUUGAGGUCAACUAUAAAUCAUCAUAAAAAAAAAAUCUUUUCCUUUUGUGGUUUCAAGUGCAAUAUCAACUUUGAGACUGUAUUUUCAAUAUAAACAUUUCUAAAUAUAUCUUUAGAUGGCUCAUUUAGAAGUCAUUGCUUAUGACAU